AUGAGCCCCUGCCUCCUGGGCUGUGUGGUCUUCUGUCUCCUGCAGGCAGGGGUGGUCCACGCAGGUGUCACUCAGGACCCCAGAUUCCAGGUCGUGAGGACAGGACAGAGCGUGACACUUAAUUGUACUCAGGAUCUGGGUCAUGACUAUAUGUGCUGGUACCGAGAAGACCCGGGACACGGGCUGAGGCUGAUCCAUUACUCUGCUGCUGCGCCCAAUAGCGAACCAGGAGAUUUGCCCGAGGGUUACAGCGUCUCCAGAUCAAACAAAGAGAACUUCCUUCUGACGCUGAAGUCUGCCAACCGCUCCCAGACAUCUGUGUACUUCUGCGCCAGCAGUUACUCCACGGCGCUGCACGGCCACCUCCUCUCUGUGCAAAAUGUACUAGGCCUGGUGGAUUCUGAAGUCACCCAGACACCCAAGUACCGGAUCAAAUCAGGAAAACAGCAAGUGACUCUGAGAUGUUCCCCUGAAUCUGGACACCGCUCUGUGUACUGGUACCAACAGGCCCUGGGCCAGGAACCCCAGUUUCUCAUUCAGUAUUACAACACGGAAGUUAGUAAGAAAGGAAACAUAUCAGAUUGA